CGAACACAGCAUUGCUGUCCCCCUUCAAAGUAUGCUACAAGUUCAAAUGGAAAAUAUCAAAUCAGUCAUCUUAUCCAGGAAUUGCUUCUUUGAGAAGAAAAAAGGCCAAAUUGCUUUCACAUGGCACAAAACUUUCCUCCUUUACAUAGAUGUUAAAAUUACAUUCCAAGAAUAAUCUCUGAACAAGACGGGGUUUUGUUCUUUUAAUUGUGGCUGGAAGGAAACUUUUUUUAAUGGAAAUACAGCAUACACAUAUUUCACUUCAGGUUAUUAAACUGUGUUAAGUAUUAAGGUUGAUUGCCUUUCUUUUCACUAACUCAUUGUGCUUUUUUAUCGAAAGAAAUAUUAGAAGACUAAAACCUCUGAAAUAGGAGGUAUUAAUCUCAUUCCCAAAAUUAGAAAGCAUGCAGUGUUGAGAGACUGGAUGUCAAAAUUACAUGUUCAUAGCACUUAUGCGAUGGGAAUCUAGGAGCCAACCACUUUUAAAAAUGGGAGCUAAAGUAGAUGGAGAGUCUUCUGAGAGUAAAGCCAUCUAAACUUGGUCUUCUUGUCCUUUUUGGAUUAAGAUUUUGAAACAGUGGAAGAAGUUAACUGUGGACUGCGUGGAAGGGCAGUAGCAUGGAGUUGAACUCAGGAGCUUUUCAGGAGGACCCAGAAUCUGACAGUGGACAUCUAGAACAGAGGACACCUUGGUGUGAACACCACCUGUACCAGCAGCUAAUGAUGGUGCCUCAUGCUGUUCACAAGAAGAAAGUGAGGUUUGGUGCCAUGAAUCCACCCACUGAGAAGGUGAGUGAAUUUUUGGUGUUGUUAUAUAUCUAUAGAAAUAACUUAAAUUAUUUGCCAACAAGUUUUUCUCACUUCUUCUAUGCCCCACAGAGUCCCACUACUACAGGAGGACUGUAGCAUAGGCAGAAGUACCAGUUUGGCCACAGGUUACUUCUCCCAUUGUAAAUUCACUCCUUGCUCAGGCUAUGCACGUGCACCAAAGCAGGUUCUGAAUUCUUUUUCAGUUUCCACUGAAUGUUUUUUUAUCCUCUCCGAGCUCUGUGAGAUUGGCAUUAUCCUGUAGCAGUGUCACAGCCUGCAAUCGUUUAAUGCCUCUUCUUGUGAGGCCAGGAUUCCACGCCCAAGUGCAUUUAGUAGGUCAGUACAGUAAUUUUAAAUGUCUUUCUUUCAGUCUUUUGCCAUCUUCAAUUAUACCUUUCCACCCUACUAUUUGUGUAAUUUGCUUCUGUCUGAAGUCUCUUUACUGUUGUUCUCUAUUGCACAGCGUGACAAAUUACCCAUCAAGCCGUAUCUUUUCAGCCCAGAAAUGCGCAGUAACACAGAGUCAUGGCAUUAUCACAUGUUGUGCACUUUAUUUCCUCACAGUUCAUUCAAGUGUGUCACUUUAUUUUCCUGCUUCCUUUUGUCAUCAUGAAGAUUAACCAUUUUUUUCUUCCUAAACUUUAGAAAGAAUUAGAAAUGCAUUACAUUGUAAGCCCAGAGCAACACCUAUACUAUCCCAUACAACCUGUCCUUGGCAAAAUUAUUCUCUGCAACUCUGAGCCUUGCAGAAGCUGGGGCUUUCAUCAUUAUUAUACAGCUGAAUAACCCUGGCCGUGGGCAAGAGAAUUAUUUGUAGCCCCUGGCCACCAAACAAAUUAAUUGUGAGACACCAUUCACUUUGACAGCGCACUCCAGCUCCUUCUGGGAGCUAUGAAACUCUCUGGGCCUCAUGUAUAUUGUGCCCAGGGUCCUUCUCUCCCUCCCUCUCUCUUUAAUUCAAGAUAAAUACGAGUAAUUGUAGAGCUUAUGCUGAGAUAUCUCCCAGGCAUUGCAAGGAUGUGUUCGAAAAAUCAAUUGUAUUGUUCACAUAGUCAGCAGGGCUGCAGCUGGUGUAUAAAAGGCAUCCUUAGAAACUGUGAUUUAAGAUGAUCUAGAUAAAGUUUGUUAUUAGAUUGUUUAAGGGCCCAGUAGGUCCUCCAACAUUAAUGUCUGAAGAGAGCCACAGAAGUAAAUUCAAACCUUUCCUCGAAAUGUACCUGAGAUGUGAGAUGGGAUUUGUUCAAGCAAAUAUGUCCAGUUCUCCUUUACAAUCCAUUUCAUAAUUUGUCAGUAUGAAUGCUAGGUGGGAAAAAUAGCACUUCUGUAAAACAGAGCAGAUGAUUAGGAAUUAACUAAACCUGUGGAGUUCAAUUUGGUUGGAGAAAACGUAAUUGAUGUUCAGAUUAACAAAAUGCUGACUGUUUGGUACCAUUGCAUUUUAUAAUUUUGGAAAAUGCUGAUGCAUAGGAAGGAAUAAGAGCAGAAUAUGAUAAACUGAAAUUGCUGUGGCGUUGAGGAUGCUAGGAGUCACUUGUAGUGCUAGUAGUCCCAUAACUUGAAAUAUGUCAGAUGCUGGGAGACCAAGCUUGGAUGUGCUGGAGGAGCUGAGCAUGAGCAAUAGGAGGUACACAUUAAGUUAGGCACCAAUCCCAAGUCUGGGCUCACCUAAUUUUCGGCACUAUUUCUGUCCUAUUUCACAACUAUACUGAGCCUUUCAUGUUGGCUGAUUAAAAAAAAAAAAAUCUUUUGUAUCACUUAACACACAAUGUAAUGCUAAUUCUUUUUUUCAAACAUCUUUACAGACACAAUGGGAACUUUAGUAUAUGCUAGUAAGAAAAAAUGCAUGACAUUUUUGUAAGAAGCCUGACUUUUAAAUGGAAAAAUAAAAUUUAUACAUUUUUGUAACUUCAUGUGAAAACUCUCAAAAUUGUUUUACGUGGACUAGAAGUUCUGACUGUUGCAGUUCAUUUACUUUGUAAUGUUCUCUAAUUAAUUUACUUUAGAGUGUCCUGCAGGAGCUGGUAAUAGAAAAUCCAUCUCCCCCUUAGAGAAAAUUGUUACUGCAGCUGAUGAACAGAAUUAUACAAGCUUUGUCAUACAAAUCACAUUAUAAAAGGUUCCAAAAAACUUGACAAUGUUGACAGUUGUUUUCAGCAAAUGGCUGCUUUACUGUAGCACUGUCAAUGUUGAUGUCCUUGUGCACAUGUAAAAGAGCAAUGUGAUUAAGGCAAGCUUGUCCAUGCUAGAUAUGAGCCAAGUUUUCAAUCUCCUCAUGGCACUGAAAGAUUGCUCAGCUGUUGCAGAUAAGGCAAGAAUAGCUAGCAGAUUUCUGCCAUUAAAAGAAAAAUAAAAUAAAUAAAAAAAAAAUCCUUUUCUUUGGGCAUGCAUGUAUAGGAAUUUGUAACAUCUGCUACUGACCUCAAGUUAUAGAUAAGAAGAGCUCAUAUUUGUAACUCUAAUUGAUAUUACUCAGUUUAGAUGAUGUACUUCCAAGGAGAUUACUGAAGUAUCUUUGUAAACACAGAUUUAUCUAGACAGCAGUCUAAAGUAUGAUACACUUUUGUGAAGUGGUGAAUUAUCACCACUCUUCUCAUGCCACUUACCACUGCAGUUUACAUCCACCUUAUGUUGAAUAUAAUUUGCACAAAUAAUUUAUAUUGCCUUUUGCUCUGAGACUAUUUCAUCUUCAUCUAUGACAGUCGAUGCUUGUGCCCUACCUAGAACAUCAGUCAUCUUUGCAAUAUUUUUUCUUUGUAUCAACUAGAUGAAAGGAGUGGAAAACUAAGUUCUGUAGCCAAAACUUUGUCAAGAAAUGGGCCUGAGUUAACACAGCCACAUCCUCCAUCCUACUGACCCUGAAUUCUUUAUGCAAGAUGUCAAAGCCAUGGGACUCAGCAGAUUUGUUGUCAUGUCUGGGUGUGGAAAUAAUGGGAAGAAGCCAAUUCAUAAUCUUAAAACAAAACCCUUGGGAUUUUCUCAUAUAAAUUAACAUAGACUUUGUUAGUCUAAACAUACUCAGAUUUUGACUUUGUAUCUACUAAAAACUCUUUUGAAAGGUCUUGGUUUCUGACAAGAGCUUGGAGGAGAGGAGGGAGUAGAUGUCAGGUUGGCUCAAGGUGACCAGCUACAUGUUCCCCAAACCUUCAGUGUGAUACUGCACAUCUUGGAAUGACAGGGUUGAGUCUAAAGUUCCAUGACAGGAUAAGAAAAAUCAGUGAACUGAAGGCAUCUAUUAAUGGCUUUUUCUGACAAGCUUGUACAAUGAUGGAGUGUGGUACUACACAGCAGCAAUUUCAUAGUCCUCAGUUAUGAAACCAUCCUUACUCUUCUUGUAGCCCAGCUUCUUCUCUCUUCUCAACCAAAUUCUUAAACAAGUAACUUAAAGUCCACCUCACUAAGCAGCUAGAAUUCAGAAAAAAGAGAUUUAUGAUAAUGUAUUUGAAGAGCAUGAUGUAGUACCUAGAAACAAGGGGGAAGGAGAAAAUUUAAGCAUGCGGUGUUAACACUUAUUCUGAUAUCUCCCUACAUUUUAAGGCUGGAUGUUGUAAUGUACACAUCUUAAUAAAAAAUAAUUUUGUUCUGGGAAAUCAUGGAUAGCCCUUCUCUGUGUGCAGAACAACCUGUGCCUCCUGUAAUUAUUAGGAUUAAAAUAAAAUUCAUGGCAUCUGGUAAAAAAAAACAAAAAAAACAUGUAGUAUAGAAUAAUAAAAACAAAAGUGUAACAAACAGCUUUGCUCUUAACUGAAACCAUUAUUAGUUUUACAUUUUACAUCAUUAGGGUAAAAUGGUGCUACAAUAAAAGCUACAUCUCAGGAAGACAUCCUAAUUUUGAUGUCACCCGUGAAGCUCAAUACACUUCUUCCUACCACAGCCUCAGAUACGGACUUGUACCCUGGUACUCUGGGCUCAUGGAAUAGCCCUAUGUCACAGAGUUAUCUAGAUCAAUCUGUGCCCAUGACAGGGGGCAGCAGGUCCAUAGGCCCCCUAGCCCAAAAAUGGGAAGGGAAAACAGGAAGGGUAGGGAGAAGGGAGCUGGGCCCAAAAGCAGAACAGCGGCAAUGAGGAGGAAAACUUAAUUUCACUGAAUAUGAUAUUGGAAUCCAAAAUAACACAAUAUAAUACAAUAUAAUUGAAAUUGAGGCUAAUAAAUCAAAUAAAAUGAGAGAGAUAGAGAGUGUCUGAAACUGAAAAGCCUAUUUUGAACCGAAGGCUCACAGCUGGUGAGCACACCCACACGCUGCCUGGCAGGGAGUGAGAGAGAGCCAGAGAGCAAGAUCCUGUGACUUCCUCUCAUGGCUUAUCUUCCACUGUGAAGUCCCCUGGGAUAUGUAGUUGUUCUUCUCCUUUGAGAACCAGGUAUCCAGAAAGUUAUCAUUCCACGGAACUGGAGUAUUAACUCUUUAAUUACCUGUGCUUUACAUGUUAUGAUGUGGAAUACUGAUAACAAAAUUAUAAAACCAUGACAACCCUAUGACUCAUGUUCUGUCAUUCUCAGACCCUCUGGCCAAAAACCUAAAUCUCAUAAAUGCAGGGUACUUAAUACUUACUGUAAUUAUCAGCUAGUAAAUCUUCGUACCUAUUGGUUGUUCUUUGAGGUCAAUUGGAUCAAAUAACUUUUCAAUCUCUCCAUGUCAUGAAGGGAGAUCUUUCAUGCAGAAUUGAUGAAGCAGGAAUGUUUCUUGCUGUAGUGAUCUUUUCUCUGCUCCAGUACAGCUGUGUGCAUGAGCAGCCUGACUUUGCUUUGAAAACCUUAAGCUGCAUUCUUCAGAACAGUUGCUCGGUGUUGGUCAGAUUUCUCUGCAGCUUUUUUUUUCCAUUUAGAGCCACUGAGGCUGACACAUAGUUUCCAAGAACUUCGACAUGUCUUGUGUCUCCUGAAUUCCAAAUAUUUCUCAAGUGCCUAGCAGAAGAAUAUCCAGAUAAUCUCUAGGCUGGUAAUACAAGCUCACAGAAGAAAGUCAGGCAGCCCUGAAAAUACAGUGUAAAGUAAUUAUUUCAUUUUAUGUUAACUUGGUGUCUUUGUUACGUGUAUACUGCCAUUGUUACGCUUAGAGCAUUCUCUAGAUCUGAAGAGGCUAUAAAAUCCUACUAAUUCUAGCACUAAUAACAGCUUUUGUGGGUCACACUGUAAAUGAUAUUGCAUGAUGAUUCAUUUGAAAAUGCAAUAAUGUAGCUUGAAAAACAAAAGAUGAGCAACAAACUGAAACAAAAGAGCUUGCUGCCUUUCCCCAGACAACACUUUUUCAUUUCUGACCUAGGUUUACCUUCUUUCCCCUUCUUUAAGGAUCCUUUACAUUAUGUACUAAAAAUAAAAGCAUUCAAGGUUCAACUUUAAGUCCCAAAUUACUGCCUUUCAGAUUCUUUAUUAUCCUUUCAAGCAUCUAAAAAAAUAGGUCAAAGCAAUGCUGCAUAAUUUGGAAAGUUAACAAAUGUUGUUUAUGGAAUAAAAAAGUAAGUAGAUAUAAUUACAAUAACCUUUAAAUGUAUUGUUUCCCUUCCAUUGUCAGUUAAACCCUUUAAAGAACUGAAGUUUUACACAAAGGUGGUGUUAUUUUAUUUAUUUUUUUUUUUGCCUUCUCCGAAAGACAGAGAUAAAAAUAGCUUCCAGUCACAUGGCAUAAAGUCCACCUGGAUCUCUGGCUUCUUUUCAACAGUAUGAGCUCUGGCUCACAACCUAGGUUUGUUCUCUCACAAAAAUCGUGUCUAGAUACCACGGGGAAAGUGAGCACUGAAGACUGGCACCCAGCAACUGUGAACUGUGAACACACGUUUCAAUAAAUAAGGCCUUGAUCCUGUGGCAGCUUUGUCUAGGCAUGGCUUUCCCCCCAGUUCUCAGCUUCACCACUGUUUGUUUUAAAGUGUUUCUUCGCUCUUCAAUUUCGAUGUUAUCAUGGGCUUUAGCUUUCUCAAUAUUCAAGGUCAAGCAGCUAGCAGACAUAACAUUGAUAGCAUUUGAUAAUGAAGAAACAACGUGAAAAGAAAAGGAUAUAUUUGUUUGCUGGACACAGCUGAAUAUAGUAGAGGGAAAAAACAUUCAAGAUUUUCUGUCCAUAAGUGACAACUAAAAGAGUCAAAUUUCUCUUUGAUUUUAUACUUCCUGUGUGCUAGAUAAAUUGUGUUUUCUGAUUUCAGACCAAAUCUCUUAAUGUAUUUUGGGGUGGAAUCUAUACCCUGCAAUACAGAGAAAAGGAAAGGUCUCUGGCAACGUCUGCAUAAGGCUUGCAGAGAUGUUCCCUCCUUUGCAGCUCAUUUCCAACAGCAGAAGCCAAAGCCACAAGGACACUGGUAAAAGGGCAAAGCUGUUGCUCUCAUUUUUUAACCCAAUGGCUUCAAAUGGCUUCUCACCUGAAGAAGCUUUGAGUCUAAGAUUGCCAUUUAAGUUCCUUUUAUAGUUAGUGACAGGAGAUGGACAUCUCAUCACGAUACCUACUUAAAAUGAAUGAACUCUACCCUACCAGUGCCUGCUAGUCUGUCCAGCAAGUCUAGAAUCUCAUCUUGCCAUAAUGAGAUUCCCAGCAUUCACAUGGUUGAAGCCAGAUGCUAUAUGAACUUUGCAUUAGCACUAUCAAAUAUCUUUACUGAAAGUUUGAGUGUGUCAAGUUGAGCAUGCUCACUAACACCAAAUCUUUUCUGACAUUAGGAAGCAGUGUGACAAAAUGCUUUGUAGAAAAUGUCUUAGGAUCUCUAACAAAAUGAUAUCUUAAUUCUAGUCACAUCAAAGUAGGUUGUAAGGGAUAUUCAAAACAGCUGUGGUUGUAUUUGGCAAAUGAAGGAGUCUUGCCUAUCUUUCAAGAUCUCAGAUUCUGAAAUUAAUCCAUCAGUGUUUGAUUUAGUUGAGUCAUGUCUUAAAUUGUGCAACAUACUACAAGCAGGAGCCAGACAAGGAUCCAAGCACUGACCAGGAUGAUUUCUUCUUGCUGUCAAUACACCCAAUAACUGAACAGUGUUCCUGUCAUGCUGUGAGUUUGCUAUGGAUAUGCUGUCUAGGCCUCCUCUCUCCUAUGGUUUUAAGACUUCUAUAAUUAACCCUGUAACGCACUUUUCAUUUAGUGCUGCACAUACUUGAGGGUUUAAUCAUAAGUACAGAGCUGUACAAUGUAUUUUGAACUACAUUUUAGUAUUUUCUUCACAAAGAUAGACUAUGCAAUGCAAAUUCUGUAAAUGACUGAGAUUAAUAAACUAUUCUGUCUCUUCUACUCACCCUGAGCACAAACACAUGCAGAGAUGUAGCUAAUGUAGAGGUAAACACAACCUGAUUUUCUACAGCAUGACUGUCUUUCAAACAACAAACCUCUGAUUUUUCAGCACAUGUGGACUAUUUUUCAGGUAUUCUACACAAUUUAAUCUGUACAUGUUUGUAAAUCUUUUUCAUGUGAAUGCUGGUUAUACUCAGUGGUACUCAUCUAAGAAAAACAAAGCCAGGGUAAGUAUUUGUUAUGGGCCAGUUUCACCAGUACAUAUGUAUUUGAUCAAUAUAACCAUAAUAUUGAUUAUUUUAAUUAAUUAACUAAUUAAUUAAUUUUGAGAAAAGUGGAAAUUGUUAGACUUAACAGCUACUAAAUAGAUAUUCCAAUGUGAAAGAAAAUGCAGCAGUUUUACAGGAAAAGUCCUGAAGAAUAGGUGGAGCAGCAGAUCUGCUUGCCUGGUAUUGUUUGGUAUGGUAUGAGAAAAUAGUCUUCGCAAAACAAUGGAUGAGUAUCAGUCUGUGUGCUGGUAGAGGGAGUAAUGAAGUAAUUGCUACAGAAAUUACAUUAUGUUUUAAAGAGGAAGCUGCAUAUGAGGCUCAUUUCCCCAAGUUUAUUAGAAACUCAGAAGUGUCAGCUUUUAAGUAAAGUUGCAAAAUUUUCUGUCUUUUAUUUGAUUCAUUCAAAUCUUGAAAUAACACAGUUGUGGUCUGUACAGGAAAAUUAUUCACUGUAGAAAGCAGUAUUUUGGUUCUUGAACAGAAUAUCUACCCUCCAUGUGAUGAAGUGUGUGAGUAAACAAAGACGUGUCUGUUAGAAACCAAUUAUUAAAUAAUAUGAAUUCUCAAGAGAAAACCUAGGUUUUGUGUAUGUGUUUGUGAGCCUUUGUGUACUUUUGCAAUUGUUGUAUCUAUAUUUAUUUAUACAGUUGCUUAAUUAAUUGGCUCAGUGGCAUCUCAGAAACCUCAUUAUACUUGAAAUAGGCAGGAGAUUUUCACAGGAAGAACUAGGGAGUUUUUCUCCCUCAAGUAUCUUCUUUUCACAUGGUACUCUCCAGAUGGACAAAGCAAUUCCAGGCUGGUUCCACAUGCUAGUACAAUGGGUAGUCUCUGCCAGUGCCAACUUCCCCAGAUAUUUGGACUGUACUCAGAAGAAGAUAGUUCCGUCAAUCAGGCAUGCUAGAACCUCAGUUAGCUUCCUUCUGCUAAAUGUCUCCCAGAAGGUAGAUGCUCUGUAUUCAUGGGAUGCGAGGCACAGAGUGCUUCCAGCAUCAUGGGAGUGAUGAGAGUGGACUACAAGGGCGAAACAGUCAAACAUCUGAGUCAAACAUGCUGUCCAUUUCCUUGUGUUUGUGAGGGCUGAAGUAGCUCUGUGCUUUGUACAGGGAUGUUCAUGUCUGUCUGCCCAGUAGCAGGAGGUAUGGCACUUGGAAUGUGAAGCAAAGAUCAGGUUCGUGACUAUCUGAGGAAUCUGAACAUCUCUAAGUCUGUGGAUCCUGAUGAGAUGCAUGCCAGAGUCCUGAAAGAGGUGGCUGAGGUGGUCACCAAUCCACUCUCAAUGAUAUUUGAAUAUCAUGAUAGUCAGGGUAAGUCCCUGGUGACUGGAAAAAAGACAAUGUCACACCCAUUUUUAAGAAGAGUAGAAAGGAUGAUAUAGCGAACUAUAGACUUGUCAGCCUCACCUUUGUACUAGGGAAGAUUAUGUAGUAGAUCCUCCUGGAAGCUAUGCUAAGGCACAUGAAAGAAAGGGAGGUGAUACGGGAUAACCAUAUUGGCUUCACCAACAACAGAUCCUCCCUGACCAACCUUUUCAUUUUUUAUGAUGGUGUAACUUCAUGAGUGAACAAGGGAAAAGCCACUGAUGUCAUCUAUCAGUAAGGCCUUUGAUAUGAUUCCCCACAUCCUUCCCUCCAAUUUGGAAAUAUAUGGAUUUGAAGUGUGGACUGUUUGAUGGAUGAGGAACUGGUGGCAGGAUUGUACCCAGAGACUGAUGGUCAGUGGCUCAGUGUCCAGAUGGAGAUCAAUGAUAUGUUGUGUCCCUCAGACAUCAGUACUGGGACUGAUGUUCUUUAAUACUUUCAUCAGUGACAUUGACAGUGGACAGUCUCAGCAAGUUCGUAGGUGACACCGAGCUGUGUGCUGUGGUUGACCCACCCAAGGAAUGGGAUGCAAUUCAGAGAGGCCUAGGCAGGCUUCAGGAGUGGACCCAGGAGAACCUCCUGAGAUUCAAUAAAGCCUGUCCUUGGAUACAUUCAAAGUGCGGCUGGACAGGGCUCUGAGCAAGCUGAUAUAGGUGGUCCUGUUCACCGAAGAGAAGUUUGAGUACGUAACCUUUAAGGGUCUCUUCCAACUCAAACAAUUCUAUGAUUCUACAUUCUUUUAUCAUGUUUGGGAAAAAAAGUGUUUAAUGCCCUAGUUUUGAUGACUGUGGAACAGCAGGAGGAUUAAUGUGUCUUCCAUAGCCUUCCCAAUAUAGCUGUGUCUAGUCCCCAAACUGUGGCAGUGGCACAGAGCUACUUUUGUGUCACCACCAUCUCAUCAUCUCAGGUUAUUUUUCAGACCAUCUCAUGCCCUGCUCUAUCAGAUUUGUUAAGGAAAAAAAAAAAAAAAAAAAAGGCUUUAGCCCAAGAAAUGGGGGCUUAUCAUUAUAGCAGUGUUUGUGUGGAAGAUAAUGACAUUGUCUUGGCUCCAGUGCAUAGUUUCAGGGAAAUACAUUCAAAUCAGAAUUCAGCUGAUUUAGGAUCAGAGAGAAGUCAUUUAACUUGCUUCCACCUGAUGAAGAUUAAGGAAAAUGCAGAGCUGCACGUCUUGUGAAUCUCUUGAUGCUGACUCUUUUGAUUUGUCAGUAGUCCUCUCUGUAGCAGCAGAGCUGGCUGAGCUCAGUAGUCACACAGCAAAAGUUUUUCCUUGCAACCACAGAGAUCUGAUGCUUUCCUGAUCUAUGUAAAUCACUCUCUUACAGCAAAGUGCUCCACAGAUGCCUGAAAUAAAAACAGCAGCACAGUGUUUUUAUGAGUUAAUAGGUGAGUGGAUAAUAAGUACCAGAAGGAUUAUGGUGGAACACUAACCUUAAGUCAUUUUCUUGUGACCUCACGAAGGGGCAUUAUGUAUGUUUUUCUCCAUGUUUUUCUCCACCUAUGGCAAAUUGGAACAAACAUUUUCUGAGGCAUCAAGCCUUAUCUGCCCUUUCGUACUUCUGUCUUUAUUUGGCAGCUGGGGAUCUGAGAGUGAACUGAUGGUGCACUUUGUCCUGAAUGCUGCUAUUACUUCCAUCUUCAUUAUCUAAAUGCAGAGCAUCACAAGGAACAGUGGGUCACAGUGCCCACAGGUUUGAUAGAGCAACCUAAGUUAUCUACCUUCAAAUGCCUGCCUUGCAGAGAAGUGAAAUACUACUAAAUGGAAUGGCCAUUAUUUUUAUUUGAAUUGUCUGAAACAUUUUAUGAUUUUGCUGUUGUUGUUAAACUUAGGAUUCCAAAUCUUCAGAAGACUGAAGGGACAACAACUAGGAAGAACUGGGCAUCACUACUGGUUUGGAUAAGAUAAACAAUUAUGUGUCAUAUUGAGCCUUUCCAUUUACUAUUUUUUUAGCAUAAGUGACCUCUUAUAAUGUCUUCGCAUAUAAUAAACCUGCCUUUUUUUCUUCCCCUGUGAAUCUCCAUUAAGAAGGUGCAAUCCACAUACUAUCUUAGUGCCUGCUAUAAUAGUCACUAGAGCCUAUGGAAGUAUAUCUGUGCAUUUCACUAAACUGUGGUUUGAAAGAAUCCUGUCUGAAGAACACAUUUUAUGGCUCUACAACACAAAUAUCCUUUGGUUUUAAUGGAAGCUUUACUGGCCUGAAGUAAGGUGUUCUAUUAGUCUGUAGCCUAAUGCAUUUUGUUAAUGAGAAUAGAAUUUAACCUUUCCGUUAAAUCUAAAACAUAUCUCUGUCUUGAACUAUGUUAGGUAGAACUUGACAGGAAAAAAAUAAAUGUGAAUCAACAACAAAGCCCGUAUUCUUUGCAUGAAAAUGCUAUUGAUUUCCAUUCAGACUAAUCAGCUCUUUGGGGUAGGUAGGGUCAACCAUUUCAUAGCAUUUUGUUAAAACCUUUCUUUAAGGAUCAGACACAGUUUGGAAAGCAGAGAACUAAAACCCAAUGGCCCAGUUCUUCAAAUAUGAGUAUAAGCUAAACUAGUUCCAGCAAAUCAAGAUGGCUGCUUCCUGCAGUGCUGUUACUAAGGAGGAUGGGCAUGUUCAGGGCUGGCCUUGGCAUUUAGUUUGUUCUUGUAAUCCCAAGUAUGAAAAAUUAUUGAGUGUGUCUUUUUGAUUUUAUUAUGGAAAUGAGGUUGGACAGUCUUCAUCUGGCACAAAAAGAGUGGCAGGAUUCCUUGUUUCUCCUGAUCUCUGCUCAUGUAAGUACAGAAAUUUGAAAUCAAGCCAUGCACACUGUUGCCAGUUGUUUUAAGGCCACAGCAUUUACACCUAUAAAUGAGAACCUUUAAAAGAAUCAUUAUAAUUAUAGACACCAGCCUUGUUACUUAAUUACAUCCUGGUGUAGCCUCUGCAACUCAAAAAGUUUACAGGCAGUUUAAGAACUGAGAAGUUAAAUGUAUUUUAAAAUGUGUACACUGUGGUGCUUCUGAAUAAUUCUUUGCUACUACUCAGUGCCAGCUCAGAAUUUCACACCCUUGAACAGAUUGACUGGUUUGGCUUGUGUAAUAGGUAGCCUGCUAUCCUGGACUACUUGGUGAGUGGGUGGAGAUGGGUGCUUUUGGAAAUGCCAAUUGAUAGCUAACCAUAACAAGUCAGAGUUAUGUGUGAGUUGAGAAGGUAGAUCUAUCUUAAGCAAAAUGGUUCUACUGAGAUGCCUAGGAGCAACCAUAAAACUAGCAAGAAUGCUUUGCAAAUCAGCCAAGAGCAGUUACUGCAGACAUUGGGAAGGUUUCUGGUAGGGGUUCUGGGGAGCAGCUUUAGGGGUGCUCAUGUUUGCCACCUAAAGGUUACCCAGCCCUUUAUGAUGCAGUGUUGGCAGUGCAGUUCUCACAGGGGAUUGUUCUUCAGGACAAUACUGUGUUACCUUUGAUGCUUUUGCUUUCUGAACAGGAAGGAAAGGCACAUGGGAAGUCUAAAAAAAGGAGAAUUUUAAUUCAAAGACAUAAUGUAACACCACCCUCAAAAUACUCAUUCCCACUGUGUCAGCUACUGUAAAACAAAACAAAACAAAACAAAUCGAAACAAAACAAAACACCCAACUAUCUACUUGUGCAUGCUAUAACUCAUUAAAUAAAACUCGAUGGACUUUUGCCCUUAUAUUUUGGAGAAAACAUAGACCAGUAUCUUGUAUUAUUUAUUGUCUGACUUUUUUUUUUUUCUUUUUUUUUCCUUGCCUUCCAAAUUCCAACAAGACAAAGUGAAUGCAUUUUAAAUUGUUAUUUACAAUGUGAGCACUCUUAGCGUUGUUCUCUGUACUGAGCAACAUCUUUGUCUUGGAGACAUUACAAUUCUGAGCAGUUGAGAAGCCUGAAGACAAACUUCACUGUUAACUUAGCCAUCUGACUUCUGUCAGAGUCACCUGAGCCCAGUGGGUCUGGUCAGAAAUGUCUGAAAUCCUCCCAGGUCUUGGGAAGACAGGCUGCUUGAGAUCGUAUAGGGCACUGCUGGCAGCACAGAGCACAUUCCUAUGUUUACAGGCCCUACAUGAUAUUUCAGGCAGCUCUUGUUUCUGCGGCUAUGACCUGUUGCUGAGAGUCAAGCCACUAUGUAAACAAGAAGGACUUCAAACUCACAGUGUGUUGCUUUCCAGAGCAAGUGGUCAUUUGUUCCAGUUUCCCAUGACCACAUUACUGCUUGGGCUUAUUCAGAAAAAUACAUCAAUUUGCAGCAUUAAUGCUAGGCAAGGAAGAGGGGUUGGAAGUACAGACUGCAUUAGUACAUAUUAUUAAAUGUGCCAAGAGGAUAAUGUUACCUUAUCCCCAGUUUCAGCACUUUAAAAUGCUCUCAUUAUUAAAAUGAAAAAAAAAGAAAAAAAGUUCAAACAUUCAAACUUGUGUAGCCAAAAUCCAACUUAGGAAAUACAUUAUUUAACUAUUAGCAAGAUGAUCUGACUUUAACACUCCAUCCGUUAUACCAAUUUCUCCACUGAUGCCAUUCAAAAUCAUUUAUUUUUCAUUGCAUUUAUAACUAUAUCCAGAAAGAAACAGGAAAAGCAAUAUCAGAGGGUGAUUUACAUUGCACUGGAUUUCACUGCAACUUGGCAUUGUGAAUAAAUCUUUGGAAUACUCAAAAAGUACACAAGGAAAAAGCCAGGUUUUAAUUUGCUGAAGAAAAUAUUCUGACAUGGUGAUAAGUGAGGUAACCAAAAAUCAUGGCUUAAAAACAUUCUGAAUGACUGCUGUUUCAGCUGUCCCAAUCCACACGAUGGUAUUAAAACAGACCGGUGGUAAAGAACACUCACAACCUAUUUCUACCUGGGAAUAUUAACUCUCACUUGCUGACUGUUAUGUGGAAUUAAUGUGGACAUUUCCAGUUGUAUAUGCAUUACUGCAGCUCUUGUUUUCAGAAUCGGGGAUUCAUAUUUAGUAGCAUGCAGUGUAAAUCGGAGGCUAAUCUGACAUCUUUAAUUCACACGUAAAUCUGAGGCAGCUACUCUGAAGCUAGUGAGGUUUCCUCAGAUUUAUAUCUCCAUUGCUAAAAACAGAGCACAGUGGUCUAUUUUUAGAUAACCUGGAAUUGCCAUACGUUGAGAUGUGCUACCUACCCUGGUGUCUUCAUGAAAAUGCUCAAGCCUGUUUGAAAAUAUAAAUUAAUUUUAAUGCAGUUGGGAAACCUUCUGUGCAUGCAAAUAUGCCACAGCCUUCACUAGCCUGCCUGCUGCCGUGUAUAACUGCUGAGGGAUGACGGUCCUUCCUCUCUACAUUACUUUUCAGACAAACCCCGUUUAUGGCACAGAAAUUAUUUUUUUUCAGGUAACACUUACAGAGCAUCUAAAUAUUUAAUACAGCUUAUCGUUAAUGGGUAGAAUAUAAGUUGAUUUUAGUGAUUGUCUUUUCCCCUAGUAGCAUCAAAAGACAAUAGAAUUAUUCUUCACCCAGGACUUGAAAAACCAGGACCAUGGUGUGUUAACCGCAAAGCUGAUGGAAAUAUCCUUCCCCGUCAAUAUCCCAAGCACCCCUCCUGCCCUCCUGCUCUAAGAAGAAAGUGGAAAGCAAGGCUGGGGGCAGGGAGCACCCCUAUUCAUGAGGAAUCCCUACAGCCUCCAUUUGUCCAUCUGUCCAAGUGUGCUCAGACAGAGUCAGCAGUUGGGGCGGCCAAGCUCCCCAGGCCUAGCAAUUAAAUAUAAAAAAACUGUCUUUAUCCAAACAGGCCAUCUAUAUUUUGGAAAUUUCCAUCGCACUUCCUUCUGAAGUCCUACUUUUCUUAAAGUGCACAGCAGCAGUUAUGCUAGGGUAGCAGUGGCUAUUCUCCAAGCAUGUUGAAGAACCAGGACAGUCUAUUAGCUCAAUGUGAGUGAUCCACGUCACUAUCAAUUUGUUUCUUCUUUAUAACUGUGGAUUUUUUUAAUUUUUUUUUUAAAUUGUUAAAAUUUUCCACUGCCUGUCGGAGAUCAGCUGUUGUCAGUGAAAGUUUGACAUGGAUGACAGUGGCCGUGGGUGGCACAGACAGCAUUUGGUGUUACCCCCAUGUUACUUGUAAUCUGAGAGGGCUUUAGCCGCUAAGAUGCUGGUGCCUUUCAUUCGGGCUUUGGUCUGACAUUCCUGGCAUAGCAGGGGUGAGGCUGGUGGGGCUGGGGUGAGCAGAAAAGGAGCAGCAGAAAGGAAAAGAUUCAUGGAACCCAGUGGAAUGCUAUGAAAUCAGCAGCACCGCCAUCCCUGGAUUUUCAGAAAUCAUGAUCCAGAUCCUUAACAGUGAGAUCAGCUUCUGAAUAAAAAAGAAAGAAAGAAAAAGAUGUGUAUAGAGAAACCCUAUGACAUGUAAGUCAAAGCCAGACAUCAGCGUUUCAUUCUGUCCAGUCACCAUUUUUAUCAUUUGUCAUCUGUUUUUUUCACUUAGGAUUCACAAUUUUUUUUCCCAAUAGUUGUAAAGGUCUGAGUCUCAAAAAUACUGGAUUUAAUUGUCUGAGAAAAAGAAUGAGGAUUUUGUGGAAGCCACUAAAUAUCCCGUGACUGGUGAUAAAAUUGCAAGUGCUGGCAAUGCUGAUUAGAGAAGGAUUGUUAUGGUAUUAAAUCAGUAAACAUAAUUCAAUAAAUUGAGAAUCUUGUUUUCUUGGUUGAGUGUUGUCAUGAUUGAAAGGAAUUUUUUUUUCACUUUGUUGUGGAUCUGAGGAGCCAAAGUUCUGGUUAGAAACUUCUUAUAUUGUUCAAGCAUCAAAGAGAAGGAAGUCAUAAGCAUUAAAAUGUCUCUUAUAUUUUACAGAUGAAUAUAGUAGGCAGAAAAAGAUAAGUUGCAGUUCCUCCAGCCAAAUGAUAUCGAACUACUCUGCCUCAGAUUUGGUGUCCAUCUAAAACUGUAAUUUUGGAACAUUUUAUGCACAUCCUUAUCUUUGUAUCUUAGAAUAGUUUCAUUAAAGCCACGUUAGUGUUGAUAUGUUGAGGGACAAAAACUGAGAGUUUUGAGACCUUAAAUGAGGUAAUCAAGCACAGGAGGUCACGGAGCAAGGUCUGAUGUAAAAGUUGCUUUACAAGACAUAACCUUAAAACGUGAGGUUUUAAAGUAAGAUUUUCAAUAAUAAUUUUUUUUGUAUGCAACUUCUUUCAUCCAGAAAAAAGGAAAUCAAAUGGGAGGAAAGGAAAGAAAGGUGAGUAAAAUGUGCAUAUUUUGUUAACUCCUGUUAAGGCAAAGCUCAUCCUUACAGCUGUAUCCCAGCUUUGCACUCUUCAGGCAGUAGGCUUCCUUACUUUAAGUGUGUGUCCAGCUAAGAAGUCUCCAAGCAAGUAUGCUAAUAUCCAUUGUUCUCUGUUCUGAGAUGCCCACUGCCUGAAAUUCAAACCUUCCAAAUCUAGAUAAAAAAAAGGAAAAACACAGAUCCUGAACAAACACACUCUCCAUACCCACAGUGUCCUACAGCACUGGGAUACUGGCCUGUAUGCCAUCUUAAUACAACUUCCAGAAGCCUGGGAAGGAGGAUGGUGGGCUAAUUUUAGUUAAUUUAUUUCUCUGUGCAGUGGUCAUGCUUCUGGCACCUGAGCCUCUGCAUGGUCCCAGUUGUGCCUUCAUGCAUCUGCUGGUGACCUUAUCUGCAGCAGCAUGGAGCACCAAAUAUCUCACAGGAUGUGUAAGAUGAAUUGGACUCCCAGCCAUUACUGUUCUUUCUAAUAAUUUCCCAGCAUGUUGCUCAUGCAGCAGUGCUUCAGAUAAGUGUAGCAGCUCUUGCUGUUCUUUUUUUUUUUUUUUUUUUUACGGUCAGGUCUCCUAAACUCUGAUAGUUUUCUAGACCUGAAUCACAACUAUAGCUUGCUGCUGUGAAAAACAACACCUUCCUUUCCUCUAUUUCAUUUUUUUUUCUCCCCAUUUUUUAAAUAGUUUUGUUCAGGUAUGGGAUGUGACAGAAAAAGAGAGGGAGGGAAGAAAUAACACACUGCUAGUAACUGUGACCUACAACUGGAGCUGGUGCCAGAAACUGAAACCAUGAUUUCUUUAAGAUAUGAAAUGCUUUGCAUAGCCUAAUGCCACAGCAGUGACCCUACUGGGUCUUUUCUGAAGGAGUUAGAAAAAAAGAAACAGGCGGGUAGAGUUGUAAAAAAAAGGAACAAAACCGGUGCUUUGAGCAUAAAAUUACUAAAUAAUAGAAAUGGUAUUUUCUGACUUAGAUGUUUAAGAAAGGCUCAUGAAAGAGAUGAAUAUUAAGCCAAACAUUUGUUUGGCUUUGCUGCAGCCGGCUGCAGGAAUGUAAACUUUUUUUUCAGUGACUUCAGCUCCUAAUUUAAAAGCUAGGAUUUUUAGCAGUAAGCAAGAGACUAUAUUUGGCCAAAAAAUUCUGCUGGCUUUACUUAGUUACCCGGCACAUUCAAAACAAUACUCCUUUAUCAAAAAACAAUAGUCUGUUUUAUUCACAGCACAUGUAGAAGUUGGACCAUCCACCAAAUUCCACUUUCUUCUCUUGCAAUAUGUCUGUUGCUGGCUAAUGAGCUGCGACAGUGCCUGUGCUUCAUUUUCAGCAAAUUAAAUUUAUGCCUCACAGGAAUUGUGGUCUGGUCAUGGCACAGCUCCUAGGUACGGGUGGGGUUUGUUUCUUCAACCAGUUCUCGGUUACCCACAUGGGUACGUGCUGUCGCACCACACAACAACAUCUUCUCUAUAAUAACUGGUUUAAGUAGCCAUUUUCCCCACAAAAGUGGAUCCCAUCUAAUUUACUUUGCGUUUACAGCACUCCCUUUCAAACUGUAUUGUUGGCACGGAUGGAUAUUUAUGCAACUUUUAUUUUAAAAUAUUUAUUUAGAAUUGAGACUUAGACUGAAGGUUGGAUUUAUAGAGCAUGCUUAAAGCAGAUUCUAAAAAUGAUGUAUUUCAAAGGGAGGAAGCAGAUAAUGACCUUACACACCAGAGAGCCUCUCCUCUGCCUCGGCUGCUGCUGUCAGAGCUGGGCAUGCUGUAGUGGAGGGCCACCCCUUGCAGUAGAAUGUGAACCUCUGUUUUUGUGUGAUAGCACUUGAUCAAAAGCCACCUGGAUCACAUGGAGUAAGCUGGAUGUAAAGCCAACAAACCACAUUAAAAUCAUAGGCAUCACAGAAUGGCUUUGGUUGGAAGGGACCUCAAAGCUCAUCCAGUUCCAAUCCCCUGCUGUGAGUAGGGCUCUUCCACCAGCUCAGGCUGCCCAGGGCCCCAUCCAACCUGGCCUAGAACAUCUCCAGGGAUGGGGCACUACAGAUUCUCUGGGCAGCUGUGCCAGGGUCUCACCGCUGUUUUGGGUGACUGCACUCCCUCAGCAGAGAGAAAUCUGGUGGGAUGUUCCAUGGCUAAUCAGUAAGAUCACAGAUCUGAUGUUCACCUCUAAAGGAAAUGAGAGAGAUGAUAAAGAAAGAAAAGCUGGCUCUUCCUCAGCUGUGAGGAACAGAGCUGAUGUAAAAACAGCACUUAGAAAAUCCGUUCUUAAAAUCGGGGAUAAAAAAAAACAUCUUGCACUUUCCAGAAGGAAGUUUCAAACAAGACAAGCUCCUUCUGAUGGAGAAAAUAUUAUUUGAUGAAUCAAUUAGUAAGAACUCUUAAAAAUAGGUGAGCUGAGAAUUUGUUCUCAGUGUGCUGGUUCUCUAUAAUUAGCAGGAGAAUGAGUGGCAAUAUGUACAUGACACAGAGAAUACUCUGUGUUCACAAGAAAAACAGUAUGUUUGAAAAAGGCAAAAUUUUACCUAAAAAAAUAUUUGAUUCAGCUUUCUCAUAAAGCUGUAACUUCUUAUGUCUUCCUCCUCUGUUCCCACAAAAGUCCCAGGGAGCCUUUGAUGUAUGCUCAGCAGUACUCCUUGCAAUGUGUAGACAGUGCAAAAGAGUAAUGCAGGAAAAGCCCAUGUUAAGGAUCUGACUUUCAAGCUUCAUGCAAAUUUCAGUAACAUCCUUAACAUUACAACUUUAAUCUUUAUGACAUCUCCAUGAAAUAAUUUUUAUUUAUUUUUUUUCUUUUGCCAGAUAUGAAAACAGGGACACAAGGAGGUGAAAUGACAUAACUGCUCCACACUCGGAGUUCAGCAAGGAAAGUGACAGUAGGCAUCAGCCCUCCCAGCUCAUGUUACCAUGCUGAAACUUACAAAACUCUACUUCUUCAAAAGCUUGCCCUUUUGAUGAUACUGCAAAUAAUAACACAAUUGUACAGUGAUGAAUGGCAGUCCCGUGCCCUUACUGACAAGUUAGUGAAUGGACAGUACUGAAAAUAAUUUGUAAGAUGAUGAUGUUUAUGGUGAUGAUAACAUAAUAAAUCGAUAGCUGAAUUCUAUGCAAGAUGUUUCAUUAAUUCUUUUGUAGAUGUCUGCCAAGGGGAUAAGUAGUAUUGCAUUAAACACAUGGUUGGAUGCCUUUCAGAAGUUAUUUACAAGAUGCUCCUCCAAAUUAAGUAAUUUUUUUUACUUUUCUUCUUUGCUUGUCUGUAAGUAAAGGUGAGCUUGUGCUCACGUAAUUUGGAAGUCACAAAGUUUUGUUAAUUUCUGUUUCUGCAGGACUUUGAGAAUACAAAGCCUCUUCAGAAGGGCACAAUCUUCUUGCUAUUUAUCUCACCAUCAGUUAUGACUGGCCCUCCUCUCACACUGACACCAAUGAUGGUGAAAUUUCUGCAGAGCAGCAAAAAGUGCCAUUUAAGUGGCAGCGUUUGUUUUCAAGCUUAUUUUUGUCUGAUUACCAAACACUGCUUCAUUUCUAUUCCUUUCCUUGUGCUGCCCAGAGACUGUUUCUCCAUGCCAGUGAUUUGGAAGCGCCUGUAGAGCGAAGCCCAGUUGUCAAAGCUGCCGGCAGAGUUUCAAGUGGUUGCCGACGAGUGUAGGUGGCCAGCGCCAGGGAAGUGUUGUUGCUGAGCAUUUUCCUUAUUUAGAAGUGGCACCAGACGGCCUCCAGGGCAGUGAGCACCCAGUCCUUGGGCGCUGAGUAGCACCUAGGCGACGUGCGGAAGACACAGCCAUGCAGGCUGACAGGAAAUUAAUUGUGCACCAGCAGUUAUCCACCGAGAGCUUCACUGAAGACAUUUCCUCUGGGAUCAGAGAGACUAAAAAUCAAUUCCGAUAAUAUUAGAACAAAUUUAAAGAGCAAAAAGCCCUAGAAAACAUUGUCUUCAUUCUGCCCCAUGCGUUUGGUCCAGAUUGCAAGCAAAGACUGGCCCUGGCACUGCAUGGGGUGCUCAGUACUGCUUCUAUGCUCCUGCCACAUGUUUCUCAGAGGCUGUUUUGGGGAAAUGCAGCACUGAAAGAG
ensembl:lncRNA